rnacentral:tRNA from 1 species
UAGGAAAUAAUAUAAUGGAAGUAUGGAGAGUUUUGAUCUCUUCUGUGCGGGUUCGACUCCCGUUUUUCUAA